rnacentral:rRNA from 1 species
UACGUAGGGUGCAAGCGUUAAUCGGAAUUACUGGGCGUAAAGGGUGCGCAGGCGGCACGGCAAGAAAGGCGUGAAAUCCCGGGGCUUAACCUCGGAAUGGCGCUUUUAACUGCCGCGCUAGAGUAUGUCAGAGGGGGGUAGAAUUCCGCAUGUAGCAGUGAAAUGCGUAGAGAUGCGGAGGAAUACCGAUGGCGAAGGCAGCCCCCUGGGAUAAUACUGACGCUCAGGCACGAAAGCGUGGGUAGCAAACAGG